UCUUGUUCCGUCACGACCAGUACCACCACAGGCAACAAGUACACCAACAUUGGCGCCUCAUCGCACAUACACGAGAUGGCAACUCCAACUUCACAGAAACAGCAAAAAUGGCACAAACAUGCCACAUGCAAACACUCGCACCCACCAAACCACGUGACAAUGGACAAUUAGCAUUUUGGAGAACUGGCAUGAGUUUAGAUUUAAAGUAAUUCAUCAAGGACUAUAAAUUUACAUUUACACCACAAAAUGAAACGUUACAAGCAAGUUACUCCAUUUACCAGUUUGGAAUACACUAAAACUUGUUCAUGUAUUGGCUUGAAAACAUUGCCUUGCAAGAUGACCGCUAAGAUAAUAAAAAGAGUUUGAUUCUCAUGGUAUAUCUCCAAAGAACAUGAUCUCCAAGACUCCAAUAAUUCUUGCUUAAUUGCUUGAGGCAACCAAGAGUUCCAUCCUCAUGGUCUAUGGUGUACCAGUCAUUUAACAAAUAACAUGGUCCCCAAACAUUCUUGAUAACUUGAUUGAAAUAUAAAAACGGGAGUUCCAUUCUCAUAUUCCAUGAACCAUUCUUGACAAGGAAUUCCAUUCUCACGUUUAACCUUUGUUCAAAAGAACUUGGCAAAAACAUGAGUUUAGUGCUCACUAUAUUCCAACCUUCACAUUGACAAAAAUGUUAAUAAGUUGACAAGAACCUUUAAACAUAUAAAAUUAAGGGAAAGAGUUCGGAUAUACAUACCUCAACACCAAUUGAAGUCUCAGAGAGAGUGGAGGCUCGGACAGCCACGAGACGUGGCUCUGUGACACACAGUCACCCCUUAUCCUGAGAAUACAAUCACUCCCUCUGAGAAAAAGUUAUCCAAGAUUUUAAGGAAAAUAAUAUAGGGUAGAAGACACAAACCUCAAGCCAGCCUAGAAAUUUUCCGGCUUAGUGUGUGUGAUGGUUAGAACAACACCUGCACGUACAUUUGCAAUAACCAAAUCAAUCAGGCAUCUUCUCAAAAGAAUAGUAACUAAUGUACCCAUGCUUUGCUAGGGAGCUGCACUAUGAGGAGUUGAGAUAUAACACUAUCAAUGCUUAUACAGAUGACUGAUAAGAUAAUUUCACUUUUUAAACUUGAUCUGGAGAGAGAGCACUAUGACUUGCUUUUAUUUCACCACCUUGUUUGCUGGGUAGUAGAGACAUCUCUUACAAAUAAACACAUUACAACAUAGUAUUCCCUCCGUCCCAAAAUACUUGUCAGAGAAAUGAAUAAAAAUGGAUGCAUCUAAAACUAAGAUAUGUCUAGAUACAUCCAUUCAUUCGACGAGUAUUUCCGGACGGAGGGAGUAUUACUUAGCUACGAGGAUGGUUAUCAGAGUCCGUAGAAGUAAGAAAAACAAUGUACCCAAAUACAAAACUGAAAUCAUUUGACUGUCCAAGUUGACUACGUUUCAGAUUCUUACAACAAGUCUCACAGAGAGUGGAGUCUCCGAGUGCCGCGAGGACGUGGCUCUAUGACACACAGUCUCUCCUUAUCCUGAGAACAAAAUCACUCCCUGUGAGAAAAAUUUAUCCAAGAAUGUAAGGAAAAUAAUAUAGGUAGAAGACGCAAACCUCAAGCCAGCCUAGAAAGUUUCCGACUUAGUGUGCGUGAUGGUUAGAACAAGACCUGCACAUACAUUUGCAACAACCAAAUCAAUUUGGCAUCUUCUCAAAAGAAUAGUAACUAAUGUACCCAUGCAUUGCUAGGGAACUGCACUAUGAUGAGUUGAGAUAUAACACUAUCAAUGCUUAUACAGAUGACUGAUAAGAUAAUUUUGUUUGUUAAACUUGAUCGAGAGAGAGGGCAGAGAUGGCACUAUGACUUGCUUUUUAUUUCACCACCUUGUUCGCUCGGUAGUAGAGACAUCUCUUACAAAUAAAAACAUUACAACAUAGUAUUACUUAGCUACGAGGAUGGUUAGCAGAGUCCGCAGAAGUAAGAAAAACAAGUUAUCCAAAUACAAAACUGAAAUCAUUUGACUGCCCAAGUUGACUAUGUUUCAGAUUCUUACCUCAACUCCAAUUGAACUCUCAGAGAGAGUAGAGUCUCCGAGAGCCACAAGGACGUGGCUCUAUGACACACAGCCUCUCCUUAUCCUGAGAAUACAAUCACUCCAUGUGAGAAAAAAAUAUCCAAGAAUGUAAGGAAAAUAAUAUACAGUAGAAGACGCAAACCUCAAGCAAGCCUAGAAAUUUUCCGACUUAGUGUGUGUGAUGGUUAGAACAAGACCUGCACGUACAUUUGCAACAACCAAAUCAAUCGGGCAUCUUCUCAAAAGAAUAGUACUAACUAAUGAGCCCAUGCUUUGCUAGGGAAGUGCACUAUGAGGAGUUGAGAUAUAACACUAUCAAUGCUUAUACAGAUAACUGAUAAGAUAAUUUCGUUUGUUAAACUUGAUGUGAAGAGAGGACACUAUGACUUGCUUUUUAUUUCACCACCUUGCUCGCUCGGUAGUAGAAACAUCUCUUGCAAAUAAAAACAUUGCAACAUAGUAUUACUUAGCUACGAGGAUGGUUAUCAGAGUCCGCAGAAGAAAGAAAAACAAUGUAUCCAAAUACAAAACUGAAAUCAUUUGACUGUCCAAGUUGACUAUGUUUCAGAUUCAGAAAUGAUUGUAAAUUUAACCAAUGAAAAGAGCAUUCAAUGUAUUAUCAUGAAAUGGUUGAUGAAUAAAAAUAGUGCAUUAAUAGUAGAGAGUUAUUUAAAUUUUACUUCGGUUUGUUCAUGGAAUAAUUUCUUACCAACUCUGAUUCAACAUUCAUAACACGAAAUUAUUACAUGGUCACGAUGGAGGCACUGGAUUUCAGCAUGCAAACCUAUGAUAGAUCAAGCCUCAAAAUUCUGAAAUCUGGAACAAACUGCAUUGAGCUACAUGUCAUUGAGUUUCGACAUUGGAUUAAAAAAUUGGGAGUGCGCGCACAAAUUUGCAAACUAUGACGAGCAUCUCUGCAAUUCUACUCUACAGUCGGAGAGCCAUGAGGCCAAGCGCGAACCAACACACGGAAUACAAUCCGUCUCCGCAGAUGAUUAAGCAACCACAUACAAAGCAUACCAAGCACGUAUCACCCAAUCGCCGUUGGAGAGAACAGCUUGCCUCGCAACCUGUGAUUGGUUUAGAACGGCUUACCUCUACCUCUGCGGCACCGCUGCGGUGGGGAGCUUGGAGAUCUGCCGCGUCUAGGGCGGCAAGGAGCACCGGCGCAGGUGAGGCCGCGGCGGGGGGAUUGGGGGUUUGGGGCUGCGUUGCGGCAGAGGCGCCGCUGCUGGGCGACCUCGAGUACCGGCGGAGGCGGGCGGUGUGGUGGCUGGCUGGCGUAGGAGAGCGAACUGUGUCGUCGCGGGUAAGCCUAGUUGCCGGAGAUGGGAAGGGGACGCGGAGCAGGAAAGCGGGGGGAGAGAGAAGAGUCGGAAACGGCGGAAUGCCGCUAUAUUUC
rnacentral:lncRNA from 1 species